CUCUCUCUCUCUCUCUCUCUCUCUCUCUCUAAAAAAAUAUCCUGUUACUGAUUUUUUUUUUUUUUUUUUUUUUUUUGAGGAAUUUAUUUUUGGUUUAUUUAUUUAUUUAUUUAUUUGUUUAUUUUUUUUGGUUCGGAAUUUGAUUUUUUUUCUCCGUUUCUGUUUUUAUUUUUUAUUUAUUUUUGUUUUUCUUCGAUUUUGAGUUCCGGUUCUUCGUCUAAUUUUUGUCUUUCUUAUUUACUUCUUCCUCCUCCUCCUCCUCCUCCUCUUCUUCUUCUUCUUCCUCUUCUUCCAUUAUUAUUAUUAUUAUCAUCAUUAUUAUUUUGAGUUCCGGUUCGUAAUUCAAAUUUUUUCCCUCUAUUUAACUUUCAAAUUCAUCAGUAACGUCUAAGUCAUGAUUUUGGGUUCGUAACUUCAACUUUAUUUUCAUCAUUUAUUUAAUUUAUUUCUUACUUUAAUCAUUGUCUCUUUACUUAUGAUUUGGUGUCACACAAUUAUCAUUAUUAUUAUUAUUAUUAUUAUUAUUAUUGUCAUUAUUUCCCCUCGUCACAGUUAGCUUACUUACGAUUUGAUGUCACGCAAUUACGAUCACUAUUAUUAUUAUUAUUAUUAUUAUUAUUAUUAUUAUUAUUAUUAUUAUCAUUCUCAGACAGCUCCUCCUUCUCCUUCCGUUCCUCUCUGAUUCGCUUCCGUUCUCGUCACGUUUAUACAUGUCAAGGGCGUGUGUGUGUGUCAGUGUGUACGUAAUAUUUUUUCUAACGAUUCAAUCACUUAUGUUAUUUUUUCUUUCAUGUUCAAAAAAAAAAAAAUGAUUAUAAUAUUCCGCUGUGUACCGCGAGAACCUAAUUUGUUUAUAUAUAUUUUUUCCGUUUUACGUCGUCUAUGAAAACCUUUGCGUCGUCUAUGAUUCUGUUGUAUUGGCGCUGGUGUGACCAUCCUCACUUCGAGCAUAUAGAGGUGUACGUAAAUAUGUCUUUUUCUUCCAUAGGCACCCCAUUGUUGUGUGCGUAUGUGUGCGUAUGUGUGUGUAGCUGCGAGGUGUGUGUACGUGUGUGUGUGUGUGUAGCUGUGAGGCGUGUGUUUGUGUGUACGUGAACAUGGCUUUCCUUCCCUAAGCAUCCCAUUAUUAUUAUUAUUAUGGUGUGUGUGUGUGUGUGUGUGUGUGUUUGUUUGUGGGUAGCAUUGAGGUGUGUGUGUGUGUGUGUGUGUGUGUGUGUGUGUGUGCGCGCGCGUGUGUGUUACGAGUCAAAUUACAUGAUUUUUUCUUUUUUUUUCUUUCUCUUUCGCUUGGUUCUUUGAAUUCCACAUUGAUUAUUUUUUUGUGUGUGCGUGUGUGUGUGUGCGCGCUCCACCGAGACUCAACCGAAAGAACGGAGAGAAAAAAAAAAAGAAAAAAAAUGCAUUCGGAAAAAAAAAAGUCUUCUAGUUCGGCAGCGAGUCACAAAUGAGAGAGAGAGAGAGAGAGAGAGAGAGAGAGAGAGCGCAAAAAAGAUUACAUAGUCGUGAUUGUAAUGAUAUAAAUAAACAAAUAAAUAUAGCUAGUUUAAUAUAUAUAUUUUUUUUUCUCUUUUUUUUCUUAAUUGCGUUAGUUCGUUAGUCAGUUGGUUAGUGUCGGUGUCCCCCCCACCCUACCCCCCUAACAACAACAACAAUAACAACAACAACAAGAAUAGCAAUAGCAACAACUCUUAAUUUCCUAUACAAUUACAACUAUUAUUAUUAUUAUUAUUAUUAUUAUUAUUGAAUGUGGGUGUUUACAAGUGCUGUUUUCAUCACCUCCACCUCCACCACCGUCAACACCACCACCACCACCACCACCACCACCUCCGCUAAAUCGGUGUUUGUCCGUCGAUUCCAAUUCCAAGCGCGUUCUUCUGAAUAUUGUGUUUUAGAUAGCGAAGGAAAAAAAAAAAUAUAUAUAGACAGACAGACAGUUCGCCGAUGUUUGCAGCCCGAGAGACAAGACGUAAACAAGCUCAAACAAACGGACGAACGCAUAAACUAACCGUGUGUGUGUGUGCGCGCGUGUGUUGACGUGAAGGGAAAAAUUGUGUUCGUCUGAAUAAGAAAGGAAAUUGGAAAGCAUGAGAGAGAGAGAGAGAGAAAAUGAAAGAGAAGGAGGAGGAGGAGAGAAAAGAGAGAAAAUAAGAAAAUGAGAGAGAAAAUGAUUUGUUAAAGGAGGAGGAGGAGGAAGAAGGAGAGAAAGAGAGAGAGAGAGAGAGAGAGAGAGAGAGCAAAAUUAUAGAAGAAAGGAAGAAGAGGAAGAGGAAGAAGAUAGAACGAGAGAGAGAGAGAGAGAGAGACUGAUCGUAAACAAAUUAAAAAACUUUAAGCUCGAGAGAGAGAGAGAGAGAGAGGAUAUCCGAAUUACAAGUCUUCAUACAUAACAACCGGGGAACAUCGCAAGAGGAGGAGGAGGGAAGAGAAGGUCAUUGCAUAGUGAGCCUUGACCCAGCCUGACCUGACCUUUUGACCCCCACCCACCACCCAGCCCCAAGAUUGUUACGUCGGGAAAUUAGUCCGUCGUCGAGAACCAGUGUUGCGUCAAUGCGUGGAAGAUGUGGAGAGAGAAGUGGAGGAAAAAGGAAGAGAUGGAGGAGAGAGAGAGAGAGAGAGAGAGAGAGAGGGGGAGGGAAGGAGAGAGAGAGUGUAUGUGUGUGUGUGUGUGUGUGCGCGUUGAUGAGAGCAAUACGUACACAGAAAGGAAGUUACGCACAGUGCAAUAUUAAAACAAAUGAAUGUAGACAGAGAGAAACAUUGUCAAAGGAGGAAGGAAGGAAGGAAGGAGAAGAAGGAGAAGAAGAAGAAGAAGAGGAAGAAAAUGCGAUGAAAACAAAGAAGAAAAUGUGAAAAUUGUGAAGCAAGGAAGAGGCAGAAAUUGUGAUAAAGAACAGGAAUUAAGGAAGAAAAUGCAAUAAAUGAGAGGAGAAAGGAAGGAAGGAGGAGAAAGAAGAAGAAAAUGUGAUGAAAAUAAAGAAGAAAAAGAAGAAAAUGUGGUAAUUGUAAAGCAAGGAAGAGGCAGAAAUUAUGAUAAAGAACAGGAAUUAAGGAAGAAAAUGCAAUAAAUGAGAGGAGAAAGGAAGUGUGUGAUGAUGAAGAUUAACAGGAAGACAAAUUAAGAAGAAAAAGAAGGAAAAUAAUAAUGAUAAAUAGUGGACAUAGAAGGAAGAGGAAAGAAAGGAAGAGAAAAUAUAUAAAAAAAACAAUAAUUAAAGAAAAGAAGAAGAAGAUGAAGAAGAAGAAGGAGGAGGAGGAGGAGGAGGAAGACUGAGGGGCACACACACACACACACACACACACACACACACAUACAUACAUACAUACAUACAUACAUACAUACAUACAUACACACACAUACACACAUACAUACAUUUAAAAGACAGUAUGUAUAUGCCUCCACCCAUCCACCCCCAAAUUCAUGCCCCCCUCCACCCCUCCACUCCUCCACUCCCUCCCCCCCCCAGUGCCAGAAAUGCCCCUCCCUCCCUCCCUCCUCCCACUUAUUAAAAUGGCACUUUGAAACAGCACUUAUGUAUAUGGACUUAAGCAGUGCCGGUGUGUGUGUGUGUGUGUGUGUGUGUGUGUGUGUGUGUGUGUGUGUGUGUGUGUGUGUGUGUGUGUGUUCACUACCACCACCACCACCACCUCCUCCUCGAUCUAUCUGUGGCAACUCUGGACUAAUUUAUUACUAUUAUUAUUAUUAUUAUUAUUAUUAUUAUUGUGAUUAUCAAAUUUUUUUUUCUCCUUAUGAUAUGGUGUAUGUAUGUAUGUAUGUACGUAUAAUAUAGUGUAUGUAUGUAUGUAUGUAUAUAUGUAAUUUUUGGGGUGGCGAUGGACGUGUUUGGAACAUGUUUGGAGGUAUGGGGGGUAGGGAGGGGAGCGCACAAACACCCCCCCCUCUCUCUCUCUCGAUAUUUUUUUUUUCCCGUCGCCACCGCUGUGUGCGCGCGUGUGUGUGUAGGUAGCGUGCGUACAUACAUAUAGCUGGUGUACACAUUAGCUCAUGUAGACAGACACCUCACUUUAGCCCCUCUGUGUGUGUGUGUGUGUGUGUGUGUGUGUGUGCAGGUUAGUGAUGCUGGGUUCCUUACACACACACACACACACACACACGCACACGAUCAUUCACAUCCUCAGACAGACAGACCAGACACCAGGCUAGGCUGGGGCGGCUUAGGGCGGCUGGCGGCUUAAAUGGGGCAGCAGUGGCGGAGAGAGAGAGAGAGAGAGAGAGAGAGUCCGCUGUCUAUUGUAAGCUUAAAUCCUAUGUUCACUCGCCUAUAAGGAAUUGGAUCCUACUUGAAGGGAUUGGAACUUGAGAGGAGGUUAUGGAGAGAGAGAGAGAGAGAGAGAGAGAGAGAGAGAGAGAGAGAGAGAGAGAGAGAGAGUCCGGUGUCUAUUGUAAGCUUAAAUCCUAUGUUCACUUCGCCUAUAAGGAAUUGGAUCCUACUCAAAGGUAUUGGAACUUGAGUGUAGGUUAUGGAGAGAGAGAGAGAGAGAGAGUCCGGUGUCUAUUGUAAGCUUAAAUCCUAUGUUCACUCGCCUAUAAGGAAUUGGAUCCUACUUGAAGGUACUGGAACCUAAGCGGAGGUGGUGGCGGUGGUGCGCAUAUCGUGGUGUGUGUGUGUGUGUGUGUGUGUCGCCAGCGCUGAUUAUCAUGUCAUUAUCGGGAAACCUCAGGAUGUGUCGACUAAAAUCGGACCACUCGUGUAUGCGUGUGUGUGUGUGUGUGUGUGCGCCCCCAUGUGUGUGUGUGCGUGUGCGUGGGCGGCAAACAAGUGCUGGUGUACAUUGUGGACUACUUAGCCUAGGGUAUAGCAUAAGGAGCAGACCACCAUGUUCUAAAGGAUUUGUUUAUUCAACCCAAACACUCGGAACACUGACGUCACUCGGUUAAAAACUAUUAUUAUUAUUACCAUUAUUUCUGUAGGCGGAUGAUUACACGGAUGUCGGACGGAUAGAACGGAUGUCGGAUGAUGGCCGCAGCACACGAUAUACAUUAUACAUAUUUAAACCAUGAUAUAAUAUGAUAAAUCAACCACAUCACACCAAAACCACAAACAUUAUAAUGAAAAAAAGCUUAAAAAAAAUAAUAUUCCUUGCUUUAACUGUUAACAAUAAACGUAAUCAACUUUU